rnacentral:lncRNA from 1 species
UAUUCUUCCCAGAAUCACAUUUUUUAUUAGGGUGUGAUGAAUAAUUGCAGGAACAUUGGCAGCUGAAAUUUCUAAAGUGAUUGUCAAAUAGGAAAUAAAAUGGAAAAUGGGAAAUAAAAUGUGCUAUUUAUUGCAGGUCAAGAUAGAUUGCCUUUAAAUUCUACCUAGAUAAAAGUUCUUAGUGAUUUAAUUUUCUGUUUAGUAUCAUCCAGAUGUUCAAACUGACCCAGGUGGUGUGGAAAUUUUAUUUUUCCAGCUUAUGAUAGUGAAUUGAAUAAUAAAAAACAAUCAUAAAACAUCUCCAUAUUGCAUCCAUGGAGAUUCACUAGGAUGAUUUACACUAAAUGGAUUUUUACGUGGCAUGGGUUUCUUUUCCAAAGUUCAACAAGAGUCAAGACUACAUCCGUACGUGUUUAGGAGCCAAAAAUUAUUAUGCCAUACACAGUCAGGUGGCGUUUGUCCAGAAGCUGACAUGUCCUUUCAUUGCUAAAAACCUUGGUUUGGAAUGGAAUGGAGUCAAGCACAGGAAGGAAAUGAUUAUGGAAACUGUAAGAAUUUGAGACCUCAGCUAUCUUCAGACACAGCAAAACAUUUCCUCCUGUUAUCAGCAGCCAUAAAAACAUAGACAUGUUGCAACCCAAGGACCCAAGUGAAGGCAAAGCUCCAUCUGAGAAUGCCUUGUGUUCCAGAAGGUUCAGGUUCACAGCAUGAACUUAGAGACUGGCUGUUGAGAAGACACUGGCUGGUAAGUCUUUGCUAAGUGAAGAUACACUUCAUAAGCAUUUGUUUUGGGUCAUUUUCAGAGUAGUGAUAAAUCUGCGCAAUUUUAUUUUCACCUCAACAGGACAUUGGACAUUGCUAAGCUGUUUAAUGUAUGUAAUGUUAUACACUGUGAUAAAAACAAUCCAUUAGUGAGCUGAGUGACAAAAAGAAUGUGACUAAAAAAGAUCCUUAGGGAUAGGCCAAGAUCGCUUGCAUUUAUUUUAAUGAUAUCGAAAUGGUGUUCUGAUUCAAGAUAUUAAUAAUUACAAUGAGCAAUAAAACUCUAGAAAGAGUUAAAUUUACUGGCA